AAUGCGUGGGAAUCUGCCUCGUAGUGGGGGAUAACGUAGGGAAACUUACGCUAAUACCGCACACGCUCUACGGAGGAAAGGGGGGGAUCUUCGGACCUCUCGCUAUGAGAUGAGCCCACGUCUGAUUAGCUAGUUGGUGGGGUAAAGGCCUACCAAGGCGACGAUCAGUAGCCGGCCUGAGAGGGUGGACGGCCACACUGGGACUGAGACACGGCCCAGACUCCUACGGGAGGCAGCAGUGGGGAAUAUUGGACAAUGGGCGAAAGCCUGAUCCAGCAAUGCCGCGUGUGUGAAGAAGGCCUGCGGGUUGUAAAGCACUUUAAGUGGGGAAGAACGGGAUUGCGCUAACACCGCGAUCCUUUGACGUUACCCACAGAAUAAGCACCAGCUAACUCCGUGCCAGCAGCCGCGGUAAUACGGAGGGUGCGAGCGUUAAUCGGAAUUACUGGGCGUAAAGCGCAUGUAGGCGGUUUGGUAAGUCGGAUGUGAAAUCCCUGGGCUUAACCUGGGAAUGGCAUCCGAUACUGUCAGGCUAGAGUAGGAUAGAGGAGAGGGGAAUUCCGCGUGUAGCAGUGAAAUGCGUAGAUAUGCGGAGG
rnacentral:rRNA from 1 species